rnacentral:tRNA from 1 species
CCCUCUGUAGCUCAGUUGGCAGAGCGCCGGUCUUAAUAAGCCGGUGGCCGCCGGUUCGACCCCGGCCAGAGGGA